rnacentral:tRNA from 1 species
CAUUGUUUCGCGCAAUUGGCUGCCGAAUCCGUGUUCAAAACGGGGUGUUGACGCGCAACGAAUGCGUGAUCGACAUGCGUGGCGAUGA